rnacentral:rRNA from 1 species
GACGAACGCUGGCGGCGUGCUUAACACAUGCCAGUCGAACGGAAAGGCCCUGCUUUUGUGGGGUGCUCGAGUGGCGAACGGGUGAGUAACACGUGAGUAACCUGCCCUUGACUUUGGGAUAACUUCAGGAAACUGGGGCUAAUACCGGAUAGGAGCUCCUGCUGCAUGGUGGGGGUUGGAAAGUUUCGGCGGUUGGGGAUGGGCUCGCGGCUUAUCAGCUUGUUGGUGGGGUAGUGGCUUACCAAGGCUUUGACGGGUAGCCGGCCUGAGAGGGUGACCGGCCACAUUGGGACUGAGAUACGGCCCAGGCUCCUACGGGAGGCAGCAGUGGGGAAUAUUGCACAAUGGGCGGAAGCCUGAUGCAGCAACGCCGCGUGCGGGAUGACGGCCUUCGGGUUGUAAACCGCUUUCGCCUGUGACGAAGCGUGAGUGACGGUAAUGGGUAAAGAAGCACCGGCUAACUACGUG